rnacentral:tRNA from 1 species
GUCCCCGUGGUUCAAUGGACAGAACAUGAGCUUCCGGAGCUCAAGAUGUAGGUUCGAUUCCUACCGGGGAUA